CUACAAUGAAAUUUUGAGCUUUGAUAGCCAAAAUUGUGAAUUCAGAUGUUACAAGUCACAUUGGAAGUAAGAAAAUCUGCUAAAUGAAUCAACUAACUGCAGCUACUGCGGGUUCAGGCUGAACAGCGACUACUUUAUAACAACGGCCGCAGAGCGUUGGGUGUUCGCCAAAAGAACCAACUUGGGGAGUGUAAUUCCAGCAUCUCUCACAUUU
rnacentral:misc_RNA from 1 species